CGUUAUGUCUUCACUGCUGAUUGCCAGAUGGAAUGCCCCCCAAUGAAUCAAUCAAAUGCUGUUUUUGUUUAAAAGCUUUUUUACAUUAGCACAACACAAAGCCCAGAUCCAACAGGCAAGCAGUGUCGAGUUAAUGUAUGAAUAUCCACUUAGAGAAGCUUUUAACUCAUGUCUCUCUUAGCAGUCAAGACACAAUUACAUUUGCAAUUUGUUACUGCCCGAGAGUAAUGGAGAAUCUAAAAUGUAUUUAUUUUUAAAUACAAAUGUAUUAUUAAGUAGAUUUGUCUCUUUCUCUGUCCAGCUUUCCUGUCUUCAUUUCCCCUUUUCUCUUUCGUUCAAUCGCUCCCUUUCUCGUUCUGCCUUACGAUUCUUCACUUCUUCUGUGUCUCUCACUCAUUCCUCUUUCUUCAUUAGUCACUCCAGGGUGUAAAUUAACAAAUCGAAUGACUCUGCGGAACUAAACAAUACCAGGACAUUCCUGUACUUGCCCUUAACUGUGGAACGAAGGCAUUCUUCGUGAGUGUGGUAUGAACACAACAGUUCCAUGGUAACUGUGUAAGCUGAGGCUUGUGAUACGGACAGCUUCUGUACGUCAGACCUGGCAGAACCUCAAUGCUGACACUAGCGGUACAAUGAACAGCUUCUACCCACAAACUAUCAGACGGCUAAAUAACACACAAGCCUUUCUGGACCUCCCAGCACCCCCGAGACUAGCUGCUCUCGUGUUGACUGUUUACACACCCGUUGAGUCCCGACUCGUACCCUGUCUGAGUACGUGUGUGGGCCAGAGCGAGGCGUGAAGUGGGCCCGAUUUGACUGCAGCGUGGAGUGACGGACUGUCGCCGAGUAUCGCUCCGUUAUCGCUCACCUCACAUGGCACUUUGAGGGUUCUGUCUCCACCCAACUCUCCUCCUAUCUCAGCCGAAUCCUGUCGACCGUAUUCAGGAAGGCUUCAGGACGGACCACUUGACCAAGACAAUCUUAAGCUAACUCCACUCAGUGUUCUUUCUCCUAGAUAUAUCCACUGCUUUUUACACUGUGAAACAUAAAAUCCUACACUCCACUACUCCUUUACUCAGUAACAUAAUUCCUAAUUAGACAUUUCAGAUUACAAUGCAUUUAACGCAAAAUGUUUCAAAACACGUUGAUAUAGGCCAAACUGGCAUAUAGAUUUUUUUACAUACCGUAGUACCCCCCCCCCCCCACACACACACACACCCCUUGAACAUCCUACAUGCUGAAUGAACUAGCAGAUUUUAAUUCAGUAAACCGAUUUAUUUUGCCUGAACAGCUUAAAUGUUUUAAUUUGAAAGGCAAUUCAUUCUGAGGAGUGGUGGUGGACUGUUAUUCUGGUAAGAUGUGAGCUGGCUGCAGAGAUAAGAUACCCUACUCUGUAUCCCCUAGUUGUAUCACAUGAGACUGAGUAAUUUAUUGAUGUUGUCCAUGAACCACCAAAAGUCAGUUCAGCCUUUAAUCUCCUUUAAAAUCAUUUUAAAAAUAAAAAUACUUUUUAAGUACUUUCUCAGGGACAUCCUGAGAAAUUCCAGAGAAAACAGUCCUGAGGUAACAGUCCUGAGGUGACAGUCCUGAGAUGACAGUCCUGAGGUAACAGUCCAGAGGUGACAGUCCUGAGGUAACAGUCCCUGAAGUGACAGUCCUGAGGUAACAGUCCAGAGGUUACAGUCACUUUUUUGUCAAUUUACAUUCUGACAUCAAUUGGUAGUUGUUAAACUGCUGUUGUCAGGAUCAAUGUGAAUGAAGGCGCUGGCAAUGUAAACCCAGUUCACUUAUUCAAGCUUUUAGAGCCGUUUUACAUCUAUUUUGCAACAAAACCUUUUAAUGGUAACAGUCCAAAUUAUAUUUUCCUUGUGGAUAAUUUACAGAUGUCCCUGUCCUAAACAUCCUCAUGGAUAAUUUACAGAUGUCCCUGUCCUA
ensembl:lncRNA